AUGAACGCUGGCGGCGUGCCUCAUACCUGCCAGUCGCGCGAACAGACGAGGAGCUUGCUCCUCUGACGUUAGCGGCGGACGGGUGAGUAACACGUGGAUAACCUACCUAUAAGACUGGGAUAACUUCGGGAAACCGGAGCUAAUACCAGAUAAUAUAUUGAACCGCAUGGUUCAAUAGUGAAAGACGGUUUUGCUGUCACUUAUAGAUGGAUCCGCGCCGCAUUAGCUAGUUGGUAAGGUAACGGCUUACCAAGGCAACGAUGCGUAGCCGACCUGAGAGGGUGAUCGGCCACACUGGAACUGAGACACGGUCAAGACUCCUACGGGAGGCAGCAGUAGGGAAUCUUCCGCAAUGGGCGAAAGCUUGACGGAGCAACGCCGCGUGAGUGAUGAAGGUCUUCGGAUCGUAAAACUCUGUUAUUAGGGAAGAACAAAUGUGUAAGUAACUAUGCACGUCUUGACGGUACCUAAUCAGAAAGCCACGGCUAACUACGUG
rnacentral:rRNA from 1 species